ensembl:lncRNA
GCGCUCCCGUAACGCAGAGGAGCGGCUGAGCGGUGCGGCGUGCGGUUAAGGCGAGAGCGGAGUUGGCCGCGCAGCGCCCAACACGAGUAGAAAACCGAGGCCGUCGGGCUCAUGCGGAUCCAUGAGGGAGGACUUCUGUUUCACAAGGUUUCACCGCCUCUCGCAUUUUUGUGCUCAGCCAGGGCUGCAUCCAAGCAAGGGCUGCCCGGAUUUUAAACACGGGAGGCUGCAGCGUGGAUCUGGAUGUGCGGACCUCCUCACAGUGAGCGUUCCCGUUGGGUAUUGUCUCACAGGACAGGCAUGGAUUUAUAGUGCUCCAAGCCCAUUAUUUCCCUUCUUCCUAUUUGCUCUUAAGAUGAAGCAGCAGCCUUCCCAUAACACCAGGCUUUGUUCGUAUUAACAACUAAGCAAAGAUGAAAACAGCAUCGGUAUGAAAUAAAACUAUAUAUAAGCUUUUAUAUUAUAUAUAAGGCACAAUAGUGACUGGGUAACAUACUGAUAUCUGCACAGGUCUACAUAAAAAACAUGAAUAGUGAGGGCAAACAGUAACUCUUAUUCCAUGCAAGUGCUAGUUAAGCCUUUAUCUUGGGAUUUGUGGAAAGUAAAGUAUGGGCUAGCAAGAAGCAGUUCCUACCAGUCCUGAUAGCAGGCUUACCGAUAGACAUACACUAUCAGAACGCUCUAAAUUCCAUAAGGAUGCUUGCCACAGACUACCUCAGUUCACCGCUCUGUUUUCCAAGCCAAGACCACUGCAGCCCAGCUCUGAAGUUCAACGCAUGAGCCAUUUCAGAUCAACAGCACAGACUCUGGGAGACGUGGGCACUAGCAUCCCCUCUUCUCUAUUGAAUAGCUGCUCCAGUUUUAGAUCAGGCACGGAGAAGCUGCCAGUCUCUCAAAGCAACACCCCGAUUUCAUUUUGCUUAGUCAUCUACUGGUAGGACCUGGCAUUGUGCACCACAUGCAGAAAGCCAGACAUCUGCGAGCCAGGGCAGAGCAAAGGACAGUUCUGUGCUGAGCCUUAAAUCUCAGAUAUCCAUAGCAAACAGGAAAAGCAAUCCAAACCAGAAUAAGCAAAUAGCUGUAAAGCUUUGGAGGAGUGCCGAAGUGGUGCUUCUUUACGUUAAUGAGUCUGCAAAUGAUUUUCCAGCAGUAACUGUUCAUGGCUCUAUAUUCCUGCUGACCCUAAACAUUCAAUAGGAGGUGAUACCCGAG